rnacentral:rRNA from 1 species
GACGAACGCUGGCGGCGUGCUUAACACAUGCAAGUCGAACGGAAAGGCCCUGCUUUUGUGGGGUGCUCGAGUGGCGAACGGGUGUGUAUCACGUGAGUAUCCUGCCCUUGACUUUGGGAUAACUUCAGGAAACUGGGGCUAAUACCGGAUAGGAGCUCCUGCUGCAUGGUGGGGGUUGGAAAGUUUCGGCGGUUGGGGAUGGACUCGCGGCAUAUCAGCUUGUUGGUGGGGUAGUGGCUUACCAAGGCUUUGACGGGUAGCCGGCCUGAGAGGGUGACCGGCCACAUUGGGACUGAGAUACGGCCCAGACUCCUACGGGAGGCAGCAGUGGGGAAUAUUGCACAAUGGGCGGAAGCCUGAUGCAGCAACGCCGCGUGCGGGAUGACGGCCUUCGGGUUGUAAACCGCUUUCGCCUGUGACGAAGCGUGAGUGACGGUAAUGGGUAAAGAAGCACCGGCUAACUACGUG